CCGUAAUAUUUACGAUUUGAAAAUAAUACAUUUAGUAAGUUUUUCCCAUUUAUUAUGAAAAACUCCUGGGAAAAUCAUAAUCCGCUGAACAUUAUGCUAUGUAUUUUAAUUAUUCCAUGUAUUUUUGCAUUUAUUCUAAGUCCGAGAAACAUUUCAUGUGUAGUAUAAUCUAGAUACAUGACAUUUGUGGUACGCUAGACGAUGGAAAUGUGUUUUCUACAUUUACUAUUUAGCUGUACUGUUUUACAUUAAUUGCUCAUGUUUAUUCUUUUGUAUUUGUUUAUUUCAUAGACAUAUACAAUUAUUCUUUAUGUCUAUAAUUUAUUUAUUUUGUUCCAAUAAUAAUAC